ensembl:ncRNA F46G11.16 ncRNA
AAUGGGUAUAAAUUUGAUGAAACUUGAUGAAAAUUGUGUAAACGUAACAAAGAAAGAGAUGGGAAAAGUUUUGAAGGAAAAGAAGAAUUAAUUGUUUACGUUGAAACACGCAUUCAAACAAAAAUAAAAGUUGGGAAAAACGGAAAGCGGUCCCCGAUAGACGGGAAGCCAAUCUAAUGUGUUUAUAAAUGGAAAAUGGAAAGGACCCUGUGCGCGUUGGUGAGUUGCCAAAACCUUCGGAAGUGAAAAAGGACAAAAAGGUAGAAAAGAGGGGAAAAGAGACACAAAAAAGUGUACGAGAGCAGCGGCAAAGUGGCUAGAGAGUCAGAGAAAUUUGAUU